GUGAGGAAUAUUGGUCAAUGGGCGGGAGCCUGAACCAGCCAAGUCGCGUGAAGGAAGAAGGAUCUAUGGUUCGUAAACUUCUUUUGCAGGGGAAUAAAGUGCAGGACGUGUUCUGUUUUGUAUGUACCCUGAGAAUAAGGAUCGGCUAACUCCGUGCCAGCAGCCGCGGUAAUACGGAGGAUCCGAGCGUUAUCCGGAUUUAUUGGGUUUAAAGGGUGCGUAGGUGGUUUGAUAAGUCAGCGGUGAAAGUUUGCAGCUUAACUGUAAAAAUGCCGUUGAAACUGUCGGACUUGAGUGUAAAUGAGGUAGGCGGAAUGCGUGGUGUAGCGGUGAAAUGCAUAGAUAUCACGCAGAACUCCGAUUGCGAAGGCAGCUUACUAAGCUACAACUGACACUGAAGCACGAAAGCGUGGGGAUCAAACAGGAUUAGAUACCCCGGUAGUCC
rnacentral:rRNA from 1 species